rnacentral:lncRNA from 1 species
UCCAUGUCAUUCUAAUUCUUUUUGCUGGUCAAUGACAGGAAGCUGAAGAAGACAGGUCAAAGUUAAUGGGUUCCUAACCAGCUCAAGACUCUGAAUUCAUCUGAAGGAAACACUUUCCACCAGUUCCAGCACAUCGCAUACUGUGGUCUUUCCAUGCAAAAUGGUGAGAAGAAAGAUAAAUGUAUGUCAAUAAGCAUGGACACUAUUUUGCAAGCAUUUGCUUAAAAAAUGGAGACUAAAAAGGGAUACUUUGAUGGAUACUGGUUUUUGGAGUUGGACUUCUGCAUAUUUUGGCAGCAAAUGCUCGCAGUCUAUUCUAUCAAGAUGACCACUGUUGAGAGCUGUCUCCACAAAUGUACUUCCUCACCCCUCACCAAGAGCCACGGGACCCUCUCUCUAACUUACUGAUCAUCAAUAAGGCAGGUGAAAACGCUGCUGCUGUCAGUUUCCAAAUUUUCACGCUGUUAAAACAUUCCUUAGAAAACACAAGCAUUGGGGGCUGGGAAUUUAGCUCAGCGGCAUAAGCACCUGCCUUGCAAGCAGGCAGUCAUGAUGAGUUCGAUCCCUGGUACCGGUAAAAAGCGAAAAAGACAAAAGAAAAAAAAAAGAAAGAAAACAAAAGCUUUAAGAAAAAAAUGAACAUGUUUUACAGACAUAUCAUGAAGUUGAAAGAUAAGGAAAAUAAUCCUAAAUUGGAAGACAAAUGCUGAAACAGGU